UCAAAUCACCAAACUGAAGCAGAUCCUGCUGUUAUUGCAUUGCUAAUUGAAAAAAAGGCCCCACAUCUUGCUGAAAACAUGACCUAUGUAGCAGGAGAUAGAGUUGUUACUGAUCCUUUGUGCAAGCCCUUCAGUAUUGGCAGGUUUAUUUUAUACUU